rnacentral:rRNA from 1 species
CCUACGGGAGGCAGCAGUGAGGAAUAUUGGUCAAUGGCCGGAACGCUGAACCAGCCAUGCCGCGUGAAGGUCAGUGCUUUACGGGCGUUAAACUUCUUUUGUGCGGGAGCAAUAAUGGUCACGUGUGGCCAGACGAGAGUACUGUACGAAUAAGCAUCGGCUCACUCCGUGCCAGCAGCCGCGGUAAUACGGGGGUUGCAAGCGUUAUCCGGAUUUAAUGGGUUUAAAGGGUGCGUAGGAUGGGAGGUAAGUCAGCGGGGAAAUGCCCCCGCUCAACGGGGUGAAGUGCAAUGGAUACUGGCUUGCUGGAAUGCGGAUGCGGUGGGAGGAAUGUGUGGUGUAGCGGUGAAAUGCAUAGAUAUCACACAGAACACCGAUUGCGAAGGCAUCUCACGAAUCCGCGAUUGACGCUGAUGCACGAAAGCGUGGGUAUCAAACAGGAUUAGAUACCCUUGUAGUC